rnacentral:rRNA from 1 species
GGAUUAGAUACCCUGGUAGUCCACGCCGUAAACGAUGAUUACUCGUUGCAGGCGAUACACUGUCUGUGACCAAGCGAAAGUGAUAAGUAAUCCACCUGGGGAGUACGGUCGCAAGAUUGAAACUCAAAGGAAUUGACGGGGGCCCGCACAAGCAGUGGAGCAUGUGGUUUAAUUCGAUGAUACGCGAGGAACCUUACCAGGGCUUAAAUGUACAUUGACCUCUCGAGAAAUCGAGAUUCUCUUCGGAGCAAAGUACAAGGUGCUGCAUGGUUGUCGUCAGCUCGUGCUG